UACAGAGGUCUCAAGCGUUGUUCGGAUUCAUUGGGCGUAAAGGGUGUGUAGGUGGCGCGCUAAGUCGGGUGUGAAAGCCCCGGGCUUAACCUGGGAACUGCGUUUGAUACGGAUGGGCUAGAGUUCGGGAGAGGAGAGUGGAAUUCCCAGUGUAGAGGUGAAAUUCGUAGAUAUUGGGAAGAACACCGGUGGCGAAGGCGGUUCUCUGGACCGAGACUGACGCUGAGGCGCGAAAGCGUGGGGAGCAAACAGG
rnacentral:rRNA from 1 species